CCGAAAGCCAUACUUUUGAAAACUGAAUGAUAAUUGAUACAUUGAUAAUAUCAUUUAGAAGAAUGUUGACGUACAGUAACUCUUAACUUGACGGACUAAACUGUAAUCAAGGAUUGACUGCAGGAAAAUAUAAACUUUGAUAAGAGAAACUUAAUAUAUCUAAACGGUUUCCUUUACAUAAUUACAUAUUCUUGUUGGUUGCAUUGUAUGAGGAAGUUGUUUCGAAAGUUGAUGCUUGCAUAAAUAUGUUGUUCUUGUGUUUUUGGAAAUAUACGAAAUAAAAAACCCUGAUGAUCUUUGUCUGAUAACUGAUGGAUGAUUCUGCCAUGAAAGACAGGUGUUUAUCAUUUAGAAUCAUGCAAAAAUUAAACGAAUACUUAAUGCCAAUAAACUUUACACUAAAGAGUACUACAUAUAAUUAUAUACUUACGAUUCCACUAAACUCGACAAGGCUGUCUGACGUCUGCAAGACGACGAAUACGAAAGUAGAAUCACGGACACUCGGUAAGAUACAAUUGAGUUUGUAUUGUUUAGUGUAAAUUCAAGGCUUUAUCAUUAUGCUUUCUUAAGUUCAUAUAUGCGAACAUGUAUUUCAGCCUGACGAGAAUUAAACGGGGCACACCUUAGAGAUAGUGGACGUUUAGUGACAGUGAUGACCUGGAUUGUUGUGUCGCAAGAUCACAGAGAUCCAAAUAUAAAUUACUGGCGAUAGAAUAUACACAUGAUUAAUAGCACUGUUUAUAAAUGUGCAUACAUCAAUGCAAUUUUCCAUAAUACACAGCAUGCUAGAUUAGAGGUGACAUAAAUUGAUCUCAAACGAAUCCCGGUUAUUUCUACAGCAUGUUAUGAACAUUGUAUAGGAAGUACAUGUAUAGUUUUCCCGUUAGAUCAAAUUGUCACACAUGUGUAUAUAAGGAGACAGUCAACGGGUAAGUAGGAAAAAGUACAUGCAUACAUGAUAUAUAUGAUUUUGUUCCUAUCUGUAAAAGACUAAAGUGUCUGAUGUUUGACUACAUAUUGUUUAAGUUGUUGAUUAAGUACAAGUUGCAUUGAGACGCUUGGUGAAUAUCGUGUUUAGUUCAUUUUCAAUGGAUCACAUCAGAUAAUUCAUAGUAUAAUAUACUUAAAGUACCGAAAGUCUAUAAAACGUAUCUAAAUCUAAUAUUGAAAUUGCAAAAUAAAUUGCAAAAUAAAUUGUAUAUGAUCACUGGUGUUUUCGAUUACAUUUUUGUGUGUGUACAAUUUAAGGAAAUCUUGAACAAGAUGUAAGGAUAAGCUGACAGAGGUAUUGUUUCUACUAACGAGGUAAAAUUGAUAACUACGAUGCCUGCAUUUGGUGACAACACUAUAUCAUAAUCGUAUUAAUCGAUUCAUGAUCUGAAUGUACCAUGCAUUUUAUUUUAUUUAAAAUAGAAUGACAAUGAUAUCAUGUUAAAGGAUUACAUCAGCAGAGCUGGCUUUUAUGGAUGUUGGUGUGGGUGCCAGUAAUACACGUUUCCUCCGGAUGUUUCGGAUGCUGUCAGGAAGGUAACAGACAGGAUGUUCACACAGCGUGGCAUAGAAAUUCCCCACCAAGAUGCACACCAAAUUUUGGCUGUUUUUUGGAAAGUUUCAAUCUUGAUAAUUAGGAAGAUAAUGGCAAACAUAUUCGAAGUCCCCUCAUUGAUCGAUGAGAAUCUCUCAGCAUACUGAAGAUCUGAAUUGUACUUCGGGGUCAAGGGAAACACUGGCUUUCCAGGGCUUUCCAGGGAUUUGAUGGAAGUGGAAUAAGUUACAAUAAGUGGUUCAUCAAAGGAAAAUUGUUCCACAGCAGUUGAUCCGACCUAAAAUGGAACUCAAGCACAUACUUUUUCACUAUCGCAGGAUCCCGGUGUGGCAGAUGUGAUGAAUGUCUACAUCUAGACAGUAUAAGGUUCCAGAUGACUGCCUUUUUGCCAAAAAGAAUUUUUUUAUUCUACACAAUGAGAUGUAUAAUAAAAAUGGAGAAUUUGGA